rnacentral:rRNA from 1 species
AUUGAACGCUGGCGGCAUGCCUAACACAUGCAAGUCGAACGGCAGCACAGUAGGUAGCAAUACCUAUGGGUGGCGAGUGGCGGACGGGUGAGUAAUGCUUAGGAAUCUGCCUUAUGGUGGGGGAUAACUAACCGAAAGGUUAGCUAAUACCGCAUACGCCCUUACGGGGAAAGCGGGGGAUCGAAAGACCUCGCGCCAAUAGAUGAGCCUAAGUCCGAUUAGCUAGUUGGUAGGGUAAAGGCCUACCAAGGCGACGAUCGGUAGCUGGUCUGGGGCGACGGCCAGCCACACUGGAACUGAGAAACGGUCCAGACUCCUACGGGAGGAAGCAGUGGGGAAUAUUGGACAAUGGGGGAAACCCUGAUCCAGCAAUGCCGCGUGUGUGAAGAAGGCCUGCGGGUUGUAAAGCACUUUCGGUUGGGAAGAAAAGUUUGGCGCUAAUACCGCCGAACCUUGACGUUACUGACAGAAGAAGCACCGGCUAACUCUGUGCCAGCCGCCGCCGUAA